GAUGAAGAACGUAGCGAAAUGCGAUAAGUAGUGUGAAUUGCAGAAUUCAGUGAAUCAUCGAAUCUUUGAACGCACAUUGCGCCCUUUGGUAUUCCUUAGGGCAUGCCUGUUCGAGCGUCAUUUGAAACCUCAAGCUCAGCUUGGUGUUGGGUGUCUGUCCCCGCCUCACCGCGGGGACUCGCCUCAAAAUCAUUGGCGGCCGGUACGUUGGCUUCGAGCGCAGCAGAAACGCGAACUCGAGGCCCGGCGGAUCGGCGACCAGAAGUCACUUCUUCACAGUUUGACCUCGGAUCAGGUAGGGAUACCCGCUGAACUUAAGAAUAUCAAUAAGCGGAGGA
rnacentral:misc_RNA from 1 species